rnacentral:rRNA from 1 species
UACGUAGGGGGCAAGCGUUGUCCGGAAUUAUUGGGCGUAAAGAGCGUGUAGGCGGUCCGGUAAGUCAGCUGUGAAAGUCAAGGGCUCAACCCUUGAAUGCCGGUUGAUACUGUCGGGCUAGAGUCCGGAAGAGGCGAGUGGAAUUCCCGGUGUAGCGGUGAAAUGCGCAGAUAUCGGGAGGAACACCAAUGGCGAAGGCAGCUCGCUGGGACGUGACUGACGCUGAGACGCGAAAGCGUGGGGAGCAAACAGG